CCCUGUGAAUAUACCUUUAAUUGUUGCUUCGGCGGGACUUCGCGCCCGCCGGGGACCCAAACCUUCUGAAUUUUUUAAUAAGUAUCUUCUGAGUGGUUAAAAAAAUGAAUCAAAACUUUCAACAACGGAUCUCUUGGUUCUGGCAUCGAUGAAGAACGCAGCGAAAUGCGAUAAGUAAUGUGAAUUGCAGAAUUCAGUGAAUCAUCGAAUCUUUGAACGCACAUUGCGCCCGUCAGUAUUCUGGCGGGCAUGCCUGUUCGAGCGUCAUUACGCCCCUCAAGUCCCCUGUGGACUUGGUGUUGGGGAUCGGCGAGGCUGGUUUUCCAGCACAGCCGUCCCUUAAAUUAAUUGGCGGUCUCGCCGUGGCCCUCCUCUGCGCAGUAGUAAAACACUCGCAACAGGAGCCCGGCGCGGUCCACUGCCGUAAAACCCCCCAACUUUUUAUAGUUGACCUCGAAUCCGGUAGGACUACCCGCUGAACUUAAGCAUAUCAAUAAGCGGAGGAAAAGA
rnacentral:rRNA from 1 species